CUAGCUGUAAACGAUGGAUACUAGGCGUUGAGAGUAUCGACCCUCUCAGUGUCGUAGCUAACGCGUUAAGUAUCCCGCCUGGGGAGUACGCGCGCAAGCGUGAAACUCAGAGGAAUUGACGGGGGCCCGCACAAGCGGUGGAGUAUGUGGUUUAAUUCGAUGCAACGCGAAGAACCUUACCAGGGCUUGACAUGUCCGGAACCCUGCCCAAAGGCGGGGGUGCCUACGGGAACCGGAACACAGGUGGUGC
rnacentral:rRNA from 1 species